rnacentral:rRNA from 1 species
AGCGAACUUGGCAGAGAUGCCUUGGUGCCUUCGGGAACGCUGAGACAGGUGCUGCAUGGCUGUCGUCAGCUCGUGUUGUGAAAUGGUUGGGUUAAGUCCGCAACGAGCGCAACCCUUUAUCCUUUGUUGCCAGCGAUUCGGUCGGGAACUCAAAGGAGACUGCCGGUGAUAAACCGGAGGAAGGUGGGGAUGACGUCAAGUCAUCAUGGCCCUUACGAGUAGGGCUACACACGUGCUACAAUGGCGCAUACAAAGAGAAGCGACCUCGCGAGAGCAAGCGGACCUCAUAAAGUGCGUCGUAGUCCGGAUCGGAGUCUGCAACUCGACUCCGUGAAGUCGGAAUCGCUAGUAAUCGUGGAUCAGAAUGCCACGGUGAAUACGUUCCCGGGCCUUGUACACACCGCCCGUCACACCAUGGGAGUGGGUUGCAAAAGAAGUAGGUAGCUUAACCUUCGGGAGGGCGCUUACCACUUUGUGAUUCAUGACUGGGGUGAAGUCGUAACAAGGUAGGCGUAGACGU